UGCAAGAUUUUUUUCUUUCCCUUCUCCCUUUCUCUCCCUCACUCUCGCGUCCUUUCUAUCUUUCCCUCCCGCCCGGUUGUCACUCCCCCGUCGUCCACCGCCUUCAGCCGCCGUCGUUCGUUCCCCAUCCCGACUAGAGAUCAUGUCUAGUGGUAUGCUCCUAUACCAUGUGGUCGAGGAUGUGAUCGUGACCCACCACUUCCAGCAGCGCCAUUUGAUGCUUCUUAGGUUGGGGAAGCAGUAUUUUGACCAUCCCCACCACCUGAUAUGACCGCACUAUCACCCACUCCGGCAGACUCCAAAUGAUGAUGGACCAUCUGGAGCUGCACCAACAGCUGCUCCACCACCACCACCACCACCACCAUCAAUAAUCCCCUCAUCAUCACCGCGCCAGUACAUCGACCUCGAAAACACAAGGUCUGACCAUCCCUUCCACGAGCGCAUCAAUGUGGUAGUGCGGGGACACUUUCCCCACUCGUGGCCAUAUCUGAGGCAGGUGCCGCCAGAGCACCAACAUUUCUGGUUCGAGAGCAUGAAGAUGACCUACUGGUGGCUCUAUGACAAUGAGUUCAUGUUCGAGGUCUUCCACAUGUUGGCGGGAAAGUACAUCCCCAAGAUAUUUUCCAUUGCCCGAUCGAGCCUAGUCAAGCUACUUUAACUGGCCAAUGAGGUCUUGCUCCAACUCCAAGCAUACUGGCCAGCGAGGACUUCCAGUUGGAGUCCUCGAAGAAUAAGCGAAUUGGGCGGUGAACUUCACAGCGUCCUCGAUGGUGUACUGCGGGGAAUCUUCCUCUGUUGGCAUACAAAAGUGUAAGUUGGAAGCAGAGUUCGGUCGACCGCCCAAGUAGAUGGAGUUAUUUGAAAAAUGAUACAAGAAAAAGGAGGAUGACGGCUGGAACGGGCUGAGGUGACUAAUGUGGCGGAAACGUUCUAAAAGCUGAUGGAGGAUCGUCAGCCUCAACCCACGGCCGAGGACCAUGAUGCCCUGGUCGAAUUAGAGGCUUUGGUGGCGACGAUGGAGCGGCAGAUGUGGUUGGCUGCAGUCGGGGGCAAGAACAAGGGCCGAGUAUUUGGCCUUGAUUCUGAGGCCCACGUUUUCAGCCGGACCUUCACAUCACCAUCGCCACCGCCACAACCAAACCCGGCCAUGGAGGAUCAUAUCGGCCGCCUCAAGGCGAUGAUGGCUGACAUGGUGUCAUGAUGAGAGAGAUGCGGGCUUCCUCCUUGACCGUAGCACCGCCUCCGACAGAUCCCCUAACCUCGAACCAGGACAAUAUGGUCGUCGUUUUUAUAUUAGGUUUUAAUUUUUUUUAAUUUUGUAAUUAGAUAAUUUUUUGUAUUAAUAUAAUAUUUUUCCUUAA